GACGAACGCUGGCGGCGUGCUUAACACAUGCAAGUCGAACGGAAAGGCCCUGCUUUUGUGGGGUGCUCGAGUGGCGAACGGGUGAGUAACACGUGAGUAACCUGCCCUUGACUUUGGGAUAACUUCAGGAAACUGGGGCUAAUACCGGAUAGGAGCUCCUGCUGCAUGGUGGGGGUUGGAAAGUUUCGGCGGUUGGGGAUGGGCUCGCGGCUUACCAGCUUGUUGGGGGGGUAGUGGCUUACAAAGGCUUUGACGGGUAGCCGGCCUGAGAGGGUGACCGGCGACAUUGGGACUGAGAUACGGCGCAGACGCCUACGGGAGGCAGCAGUGGGGAGUAUGGCACAAUGGGCGGAAGCCUGAUGCAGCAACGCCGCGUGCGGGAUGACGGCCUUCGGGUUGUAAACCGCUUUCGCCUGUGACGAAGCGUGAGUGACGGUAAUGGGUAAAGAAGCACCGGCUAACUACGUG
rnacentral:rRNA from 1 species